GAUCGCAUUAAUAAUUCUGAAGCAACAGCAGAGUUUGAUGACUUGAUUGAUCUUGAAGCAUUAUUGGAUGAUGACGCUGUCAUGCCUACAGCUUCUUGAAGCCAAAUUCUCAUAAAUAUUACUGCCAAAGCAGUUUAGGACUUUUUCCCAAUCUGUUUUCAGCGUCAUGUGUUAUUAUUGUACCAUAGUUAACAUUGCACCUUCAGAACUUCAUACAAAUGUACAAAUUAAU
rnacentral:misc_RNA from 1 species